GCACUCACGGAGAAGUUCCCUAGACUCACAGUUUCGAAGACGAGAGGAGGGAAUUGAAGAUGAAUGUAUGAGCUCCCCAGCAGUGUGGGAAUCUUCACGGGAAGCCCAUUCUGGUCCUCUCCUAUGGGAAACACUAGGAGUCCAGGAGAGCUGAGCCACCUGGGGUGAAUUGAGGACAAAGAGUGAAGGGCUGAUCACAGCGACUGGCACAGGAAUCAUGGCAGCUAAUCAGCACCCUGAUCAGUGACACCAUGUUGAAGAGACUGGCCAACACCAUGGCACCACAGGGGGCAUGAUUCACAGGAAGGCCUGAAUCCCUGGCAGGAUUUUCCACAAAGUUCCAGUGCUUACUGGAGCCUCCCUGGCCUAGGAACAACUGAAAGGUCAGGAUUAAGUUCUGGUGCUCACUUAAGUCUUCCCCAGACUAGGAAACAACAGCAAAACAGUAAUAUAGUUCCAGGGCAGCAUUUAAUAUCCAGUACCCACUAGAAGUUUUCACCAGACUUGGAAACAACAACACGGCAACAGUUUACUUCUGGAGCAGCAUUUAAGUUUUUGCAUUUGUUGUAAGUCUUCCCCAAACCAAAAAACAAUGACGAAGCAAUUAGUUAGUUCUAGUGCAGUGUUUUAGUUUCAGAGCUCAUUAUAAGUCCUCCCCAGAGCAGGAAGCAACAACAGACCUGUGUUUAAGUACCAAUACUAAGAAGUGAAGGUCAACCCCACCAAAGAAUACCUGCAAAAAUGGAAAGAUAUGACUGUAUCCUCAAAUGUGCUGGCGUCAAUGCAAAGAUGCACGGAUUGUGAAAACUCAGGGAAAUAGGACACCGAUAAAAGUAACCAAGAAAACUCCAGCAAUGAACCGAGAAGCAUUGAAGACCUAGAAAAAGUCUGACAGAUAGGUCAGAAUAAUGCUCUUAAAGAAGUUCAGACAAUCAUAAAAAGAAACAGGUAGAAACUAAAUAAAAUUUGGAAAACAAUUCAGGAACAAAGUGAGACAUUUGACAAAGAAAUAGAAACAAGUUUAAAAAACUAAAUAGAAAUUCUAAUUAAAAAAAACUGAACCAAAAAAACUCAUUAGAAAGCUUCAACAGUAGGCUUGAUCAAACAGAGGAAAGAAAUUAGAAAGCUUGAAGACAACCUACGAAAUAACCCAAUCAGAGAAGGAAAAAAGAAAGAAGAGUGAAGAAGCCGACGAUAAUUAUGUGUCACCAUCAUGUGAAGUAAUCAUGUGAAGUAAUUUCUUUAAGUAGAUUUAAGUUAUUCCUGAGGCAGAUGAGAGACAGAAAGGCAUGGAAUGCAUAUUUAAAGAAAUAAGGCUGAAAUUUUCCCAAAUGUGGAGAGAAAUGACAGCAUUUCAGGAAGCUCAGAGGUCACCAAUUAAAUUCAUUCCAAAGAGGAAUUCACAAAGGCACAUUAUAAUCAAAUUAACAAAAAUCAAAGACAUAGAAAGAAUACUCAAAGUAGCAAGAUAAAAGAAACAUAUCACAGAAAUACAAAGGAUUAUUACAGACUAUUUUGAACAACUAUAUGCAAAUCAAUUGGAAAACCUAGAAGAAAUGGAUAUAUUCUUGGGCACUUACAACCUCCCAAAUUGAAUCAUGAAAAAAAUAGAAAAUCUGAACAGACCUAUAAUGGGUAACAAGAUUAAAGCAGUAAUGAAAAGUCUCCCAUCAAAGAGCAGCCCAGAACCUGGCUUUUAUGCUGAAUUCUACCAAUCAUUUAAAAAAGAAAUAAUACCAACCCCACUCAAACUAUUACAAAAAGUUGAAGAGGAAGACACACUUCCAAACUCAUUCUGUGAGACCAGCAUUAUACUAAUUCUAAAAUCAGCCAAGGACAUAACCAAAAAAAGAAAACUAUAGGCCAAUAUCUCAUAUGAGAAUAAAUGCAACAAUCCUCAACAAAAUACAAGCAAACCAAAUUCAACAACACAUUAAAAAGAUCAUUCACCAUAAUCAAGUGGGAUUCAUCACAUGGAUGCAAGGAUGGUUAACAUAUGCAAAACAACAAACAUGAUCUCUAUCACAUUAACAAAAUCAAGAACAAAAAUUAUUUGACCAUUUCAACUGAUGCUAAAAAAAAAAGCAUGUGAUAAAAUUUAACAUCCCUUCAUGAUUAAAAACUCUCAACAAAGUGCUUUGAGGACAUACCUCAAAAUAGUAAAGGGCAUAUAUGACAGACCCACAGCUAAUGUCACACUGAAUGGGCAAAGACUGAAAGCCUUUCCUCUAAAAUUUGGAACAAGACAAAGUUGCAACUUUUACCACUUUUAUUCAACAUAGUACUGGAAGUCCUGAACAACAAAUGGGUCAAUGAAGAAAUUACAUAGAACAAUUAGGUAGGAGAAAGAAAUAAAAGGCAUCCAGACUGGAAAGGAAAAAGUCAAAUUAGCUUUGUUCACAGAUGACGUAAUCUCAUAUUUAGAAAAAUCCAAAGACCCCAUCAAAAAACUAUUAGAACCAAUAAAUGAAUUCAGUAAAAGUUGCAGGAUACAAAAUCAAUACAUAAAAAUCAGUAGCACUUCUAUACACCGAAACUGAACAGUCUUGAAAAGAAAUCAGCAAAACAAUCCCAUGUAUAAUAACUACAAAGAAAUAAAAUACCUAGGAAUAAAUUUAACUAAAGAUUUAAAAAGAUCUCUGCAAUAAAAACUAUAAAACACUGGUGAAAGACAUUGAAGAGGAAACAACAAAAAUGAAAAGAUAUCUCAUGUUCAUGGAUUAAAAGAAUUCAUAUUGUUAAGAUGUUCAUCACCCAAUGUGAUCUACAGAUUCAAUGCAAUCUCUAUCAAAGUACCAAUGGCAUUCUUCACAGAAAUAGAAAAAACAACUGUAAAAUUUGUGUGGAACCUAAAAAUAGCCUAAAUAACCAAAGAAAAAGCAACAGAGCAGCUGGGC
rnacentral:lncRNA from 1 species